rnacentral:lncRNA from 13 species
ACUGCUGUGGUGAAAACUCACCACAAAUUUAGUGGCUUGAAAUAAAACAUAUUUAUUAUUUUCUAGUUCUGCAGGUCGGAAAUCUGGCUUGAGUAUCCCUGGGCUAAAAAGAAGCUGUUGGCAGAACUACAUUCUUCCUGGAAGUGCUAGAGGAGAAUCUUGAUUCCUUCUCUUUUUUUCUGCAUCUAGAGGCUGCCAUAUUCUUUCAAUCAUGCAAUCAGUAAAAAUGAAACACCUGCUUCCUUUUUUGAUGCUGGUCCACCAAGAGCUUAUCACAGUAAAAGCCUCCAGCAAAAUACACAAAAACCUUGGGCUUGACCAACAUCUGUUAUUUUUUGACUUUUUAAUAGUAGCCACUCAGACUGCCGUCAGAUGGUAAGUAUCUCACUGAGGUUUUGAUUUGUCUUUCUCUGAUGAUUAGAGCUGUUGAGAAUUUCUGUAUAUAUUUCUUGGCCACAUGUUAUGUCUUCUUUCAAGAUGUAUCUGUUCAUGUCUUUUGCUUUUUUUAUGGGACUGUUUGGUUUUUGCUUAUUGAUUUAAGUUCCUUAUAGAUUUUUUUAUAUAAGAUCUUUGCAGGAUGCAUAGUUUGCAAAUAUUUUCUCCCAUUCUGUAGGUUGUCUGUUUACUCUGUCAAUAGUUUUUUUUGUUGUUUUUUUUUUUUUUUUU